UCUGUUUUAUUAUUUGUGAUCUGGCCUUCACAGUCCUUAAAGAGUGCCAGCACCGCUCCUACCCACCACCUCUUUUUCCUCACUCCCUCCCAGCUCACAAACUCACUCCGAUUUUUUUUCUUCUUUUUUUAAAUUCAUCUCUCUCCGUCCUCGCUGUUUAAAAAACGGACAGAUUGGUUUUGCUGCUCGACAAGCCACUAAGUGUCAUUUCUAGGCUUCGAUGCAAGAAUGUCGCUGCAACAACGUGCGACACUGGUUUCACCCAAGGACGGAAAGGCUCUGCUUCAACAACUGGUUGUUAAUCAACUCCUGCCUCUCUGCAAUGAUGGAGCAGAAAAAGCCAGAAAGGAGCAUCUUGGGGUGUGGAAGGUGCUGAGCAGUUGGAACGUGUCAGGACUUUCGGGGUUUCUGAUGGGUCAGAGUCGACUUGUCCGAACCACAGGGACUGCUUCCCUGCU